GGAAUAUUGGACAAUGGGGGCAACCCUGAUCCAGCCAUGCCGCGUGCGUGAAGAAGGCCUUAGGGUUGUAAAGCGCUUUCACCUGCGAAGAUGAUGACGGUAGCAGGCGAAGAAGCCCCGGCCAACUCUGUGCCAGCAGCCGCGGUAAGACAGAGGGGGCAAGCGUUGCUCGGAAUCACUGGGCGUAAAGGGCGCGUAGGCGGGAUGGCAAGUCAGUCGUGAAAUCUCUCGGCUCAACCGAGAAACGUCGGCUGAUACUGCCGUUCUUGAGGGAUGCAGAGGAGACUGGAAUUCCCGGUGUAGCGGUGAAAUGUGUAGAGAUCGGGAGGAACACCGGUGGCGAAGGCGGGUCUCUGGGCAUUUCCUGACGCUGAGGCGCGAAAGCGUGGGGAGCAAAC
rnacentral:rRNA from 1 species